rnacentral:rRNA from 1 species
GAUGAACGCUGGCGGCGUGCUUAACACAUGCAAGUCGAACGGGAAACCUUUUAAUGAAGCUUCGGCAGAUUUAGCUGGUUUCUAGUGGCGGACGGGUGAGUAACGCGUGGGUAACCUGCCUUAUACAGGGGGAUAACAGUCAGAAAUGACUGCUAAUACCGCAUAAGCGCACAGGACCGCAUGGUCCGGUGUGAAAAACUCCGGUGGUAUAAGAUGGACCCGCGUUGGAUUAGCUUGUUGGUGGGGUAACGGCUCACCAAGGCGACGAUCCAUAGCCGGCAUGAGAGGGUGAACGGCCACAUUGGGACUGAGACACGGCCCAGACUCCUACGGGAGGCAGCAGUGGGGAAUAUUGCACAAUGGGGGAAACCCUGAUGCAGCGACGCCGCGUGAAGGAAGAAGUAUCUCGGUAUGUAAACUUCUAUCAGCAGGGAAGAUAGUGACGGUACCUGAAUAAGAAGCCCCGGCUAACUACGUG